rnacentral:rRNA from 1 species
UGGGGAAUUUUGGACAAUGGGCGAAAGCCUGAUCCAGCAAUGCCGCGUGUGUGAAGAAGGCCUUCGGGUUGUAAAGCACUUUUGUCCGGAAAGAAAUCCUUGGCUCUAAUACAGUCGGGGGAUGACGGUACCGGAAGAAUAAGCACCGGCUAACUACGUGCCAGCAGCCGCGGUAAUACGUAGGGUGCAAGCGUUAAUCGGAAUUACUGGGCGUAAAGCGUGCGCAGGCGGUUUGCUAAGACCGAUGUGAAAUCCCCGGGCUCAACCUGGGAACUGCAUUGGUGACUGGCAGGCUAGAGUAUGGCAGAGGGGGGUAGAAUUCCACGUGUAGCAGUGAAAUGCGUAGAGAUGUGGAGGAAUACCGAUGGCGAAGGCAGCCCCCUGGGCCAAUACUGACGCUCAUGCACGAAAGCGUGGGGAGCAAAACAGGAUUAGAUACCCUGGUAGUCCACGCCCUAAACGAUGUCAACUAGUUGUUGGGGAUUCAUUUCCUUAGUAACGUAGCUAACGCGUGAAGUUGACCGCCUGGGGAGUACGGUCGCAAGAUUAAAACUCAAGUGAAUUGACGGGGUCAUAGCUGUUUCCU